GAGUUUGAUCCUGGCUCAGGAUGAACGCUGGCGGCGUGCUUAACACAUGCAAGUCGAACGAAGCACUUUAUUUGAUUUCCUUCGGGACUGAUUAUUUUGUGACUGAGUGGCGGACGGGUGAGUAACGCGUGGGUAACCUGCCUUGUACAGGGGGAUAACAGUUGGAAACGGCUGCUAAUACCGCAUAAGCGCACAGCAUCGCAUGAUGCAGUGUGAAAAACUCCGGUGGUAUAAGAUGGACCCGCGUUGGAUUAGCUAGUUGGUGAGGUAACGGCCCACCAAGGCGACGAUCCAUAGCCGACCUGAGAGGGUGACCGGCCACAUUGGGACUGAGACACGGCCCAAACUCCUACGGGAGGCAGCAGUGGGGAAUAUUGCACAAUGGGCGAAAGCCUGAUGCAGCGACGCCGCGUGAGCGAAGAAGUAUUUCGGUAUGUAAAGCUCUAUCAGCAGGGAAGAUAAUGACGGUACCUGACUAAGAAGCACCGGCUAAAUACGUGCCAGCCGCCGCGGUAAUUC
rnacentral:rRNA from 1 species